GCUCCCUGCCCCCCAACCCCUUGGCCUUCCGUGCGUACGCGGCCCGGGGGGCCCUCGCGCCUCGGCGCCAGCAACCCGGCGCGUGAGGCGUCGGACGGCUGAGCGCGCCGGAACGGCGGGCGUCGCGGGGCGUGGCGGAGGCGCCCGCUUGUCCCUCUUUGCUGGUGAGGGCGGUUCGGCGUUCCUUCCCUCCUCACAGUGUUAGUCGGAACCAGGUUGGCACUGCGGCGUCUGCACGAGGAGAAGGGAAGCAUAACAGUUUCAGAAAAAUCGCUGUCUUUGGAGAGAGCAGAGAAUGAGAUGGGAAAAGUCUUCAACUAGCUGCCUGAAAUGUAUCUCAUGAGGAAUUCAGCCAUCUCUGAAGGACUUCUUUGGGAAGAGAGUGAGUCAAGACCUCCAGAAGCCAGAAAGUUCAGGUGCGAAUAAGAUGCUUUGGUCCUGAUACCAGACACCCGAGUGCUGAGGACGGUGUGCAGUGAAGGCUGUUCACAGAUCUCCUGCGUCUGACUUGACAGAGUUGGCGGGCGUGUGCCUGGACGGUACUGCUACCAGCGGCCACUGACACUAGCAAUGUCUGAGUGAUACUGACGGGGUAGCCUCCCACUCGCUCCGCCUUCCAGGAAAGAGGAAGAAUGUGUAGCGAAAAGGACCCAGGACCAAGCCCUGAUGCGCUGAGCCCUGGAACACUCCACCAAUUGAAGGUGUUCACGACUGUUGGACCUCGAGAGGGACAUUGAUGAACCCUGAAAACAAUCAAAGCCAGAUAAGGAAAUGUUUAAUAAGCCUACAGUGUUCUGGUUGAACACUGUGAUUCUUGGAUUAAUCAUUUUCAUCCACGUUUGAGUUUGCACAGCCUCACCCGUAGUGUGUGUGCACGUGCUCUAACUCCACCUCACUCGCAAAAGGCUUACAGCCAAAAUCUGACACUCUCCAACUGAAAAGGCCUUGCCGAGUGAGUCGUACAGCCUAGCUGAGAAGCAAGGAACCCUGGAUCUCUUCUCCACGUGGUGAGGAUACCAGCUUCCCAGUCUCACUCUGAGCUACAGCCAACGUCGAGGAAGCAUAACCUUUUGGAGCUCUCGUUUGUGAUACUUCCUGCUGUGUUCCUGGCACAUGUGAACACACUGAAUUUUUAACUCAUAUCUGAGAACUUGUUUUUGUUGUUGGAUACUUGCCUUUUCCUCCUAUGGUGGGCUUGCGAGUGAUACCCUUGGAUAAAGGGAUUCUUUAUACAUUUUUUAUGGAAUGUUACAUCUGUCCUUUGCUUAAUCUCAGCCCUGCUCUAUCACUUAUGACACUCUCCCCCUAACAAAAACAAGUUUAUCCAAAUUUACACCUCCUUCACAGCUGAUCAACAACUGUGAGAGAAGACGCAUAAAAGAUCAUAAUAUAUUGGAUUGUAUCAAUUUCAUAGCAAUACGUUUACAGGAAUAGAAAUGAAAACAAAUCACCAUUAAUAGAUUGUCCUUAUAUAAAUAGAGAAUGGGAGAGGAGAGAAGAUUGUUCUCUUCUGCUGAGAGAACAGACAGGAAGAAUAGGUAGGGCAUGACUCUACAAACCUCAAAAGUGGUUGUCAUUGUGGGCUUAUAGGACACAUGGUUGGCCCUUCUCAGCUCCUUGAUAGUUUCAGCGGGCAUGGAUUUAGAAAACCCGAGGCCACUCCAGGUAUUUGUGGGUGUUCUGACCUCCGUCACCACCGGUUUCUUUAACAUAGCUUUGGAAAACAGAACAUAAAACAAAUGCUUGGUAUUUUUAAUGAAUUUCUUAAAUAAGAUAUUGAUGAGUAUUGUUUCUUUGAUAUAUGUAAAGAAAUUAUCACUGAAUAUUAUUUCUUAACACAAAAGGCCUUAAAAUAUCCUCAUAAAACAUUUUAUACAAAGUAGUGGUAAACUUUAAAAUGAUACAUUAUUUUUAAUUGAUCUAAUGCUAAUCUACUCAACCUCAACAAAGUUUGUGCAACUUGAACGUAAACAUUCUGGGAUUCCUUUUAUGAAGGUCCAAUUUCUCAGUUCAACAUCAACACUGAAAAACCUUUUAUGUGUUUACUGAAAAAAAAAUCAAAGUAUAGAUCAUUAACGUGUCACAUACCUUUGGUUGCUAAUAACUUUUUCUGUUCAUAGUCAAAUGCCUGAAAAAAAAAAAAACAGAGAGAAAAUAUCUUUAUUGUCAGUCUAUCCAAAUGUUAUGCCAAUACUUCAUGAAAAGAUUUUGACUACAGCCCAUGAAUCUGCCUGGGGCAAACGCUCAGCUCUGCACCAGAAUGUGACAGUAAUCCAUGCAAGUCUGAUAAACUGAAACAUGUUUUCAAAACUAAUUCAUUGGGCUUCCCUGGUGGCGCAGUGGUUGAGAGGCCGCCUGCUGAUACAGGGGACGCGGGUUCGUGCCCCGGUCCGGGAAGAUCCCACAUGCCGCAGAGCGGCUGGGCCCGUGAGCCACGGCCGCUGAGCCUGCGCGUCCAGAGCCUGUGCUCCGCAAUGGGAGAGGCCACAACAGUGAGAGGCCCGUGUACUGCCAAAAAAAACAAACAAACAAAAAACCUAAUUCAUUAUAAUAAUAAAGUACUACUCCCAACUUUAAGUCAUGACAGUGACAAAAGUUAGAAAUUUUCCUUCAAAAAGAAAAAAAUUCCUAUUUACUAUGAAAUAUUUAACACACCAGGACCAAUAUAUGCUAACGUAUAGUGAAUAACCUAAUAACAGUUAUGCUAAGUUUCAAAAUAAUGCAUUAUCAGAAUGCUUAAGCAGUAUAGUAAAAUUAAACCUAAAUAAAAAUAUAAACCUAAAUUUAAAAAAUAAAACUUAGUUAUCUUUUAUUGCACAGGACUAGGAUGGCACCAUUUAUUCUUCCCAUUCACAUUGAAUAAGUGACUAUGACACAGUCGGAUCUACAUAGGGACCAAGGCAGGUCAUUUUGAAGAAAGAAGUCCAGAUAUAGCUACAUCUCAAAUGCUAACCCAGGGUUCUCAACUCGCCAAUUCAGGAACUGGCUUAGACUUGAUUUAAGAAUGUCUCUUGUAAUAAACUGUAACGGAAAAGAAUUUUUAAAAAAGUAUAUAGAUAUAUACAUAUAUGUAUAACCAAAAUCGCUUUGUUGUACAACUGAAACUAACACAAUAUUGUAAAUCAACUAUACUUCAAUAAGUUAAAAAAAAAAAAAGAAUGUCUCAAAGGC